UAUACCGCCGUAGCUCUGACCUUGCUAACCUACAAGAUGUCAUGAUUAGUCAAAAAAAAAUUCAUUUAAAUUCUUCCUCAUCUAAAUUACCCACUAUAACAAGCAUUUUUUUACCAUCAUCAUGAAACUCCACAAAUUACCACCGGAUAUUUGCCACAGUCUGCCGCUUUCACUCGACAACCUUUUCGAAUACCUCAGUUUACAAGUUCGGUGUUACAAGUGUCGUCGAUGUCUCGUUAACUAACGAAUAACAAUUAAUAAAUAAAAAUAAAUUCUCUUCUGACCAAAUACGGUUCUUCGUCUGUGCUAAUUAAAAUUUUUCUCUCAGUCAUGGCCAACUGCAUGAGCUGCUUUUCUAGAACAUCCGGGCUCCUUUUGAGUGUUUCCGUCAUAGUUUACAAUUUGAAAAAUGGUCCAAGUUGGUGGUCCGAGACCGCUAGGAAGCGGAUGCGUGUAGUGUUGGAGCUGUUCUUGAGUUCAAAUUUUUUGAGCUUGAUUACCGCGCAUUUUUUGAACGUCAGCAACCGUGAGCUUAUUAUGUGUUUUCGAGGUCAUCCAUACGUCACUAUUUGUGGGACAGCGAUCUGCAUGCUGUACUGUAAGGUGAAGUUGAGGAGACUCCGCAAUUGCAACCAACCGUCUGUUCAAAAAAUGAAUAUUGCGUGGUUGUCUUACUCAGUCUUAACGGGAAUCCCAUUUUCCUUAUUUGAAAUGCAUGUCAUUAUACAAGUCUUGCCAACUUAUGUUUUGUCCAUCGGAAUCAGCCUCCUUGUUACGAACAUGGUCCCAAGUUCAGACUAUGAAAAAUUCUCUGUUGGGUGGAUCCUUGCGUUACAUGCCGUGGUGGUGUCCGCAGUGUCCGGAAUGGCGCAUUUGUGCUUUCCACAGAUCGUUGGCCCCGUGAUCGUGCAACAAAGCUUAGCCAUCACAUUUUUCGGGGUGCUCCUCGACGAAUUUCAGUUCGCCAAAAAAAAGAUUACCGACGCAGAGCUACUUCCCGAACAUAGAUUCAACCCUGCCUACGUUAGUUUCCCUCUUUUCGCCGUGGGAUCAAUCCUACUCUAUCGAAUGGCAGCCUUACACAACAGUCACUGCACAAAUGUUGCAGUGAUAUAAUACAGCCAUCACUGCCUCAUUAAGUUAUUACUUUCAAAGUGUUUUCCUGAUGACAUUUCGACUCUGGGUGAAGGUAUGAGGUUUCUGUGCGAUAAUUAUUAAUAAGACCAAAGGUUAGGUACCCGAUACCGUGAAAUACAGCAUAAUUCAGCAGAAUUUGAGGUCCGCCUAAAAUUUUGCCGCAUAGGCAACAAACAUACAGUGGUGCCCAUCCCCCCCCCCGACGCAGUUGAGGAGUUCCCCCCUAAAAAGUACAGAUGCUUCCCCCCGCCUCCCAAAUAUAGGACAACUCAACUCAUUCAGGGGGGAUCCGGGGGAAAAAUUUUGAAAUUUUAAGACCUACAAGACGCAAUUCCAGGCACUCUCAAAGACUUUUAUCCUCUUCUGAGACUAUGUUUUCACCUUGUUUCAAGGCUAAAACACGCAACCAAAAAUAAGAAAUGGGGGAGAAGAAAUUUUUCAUGGGGGGGGAGGGAAUAUUUCCCAAAAAGCCCCCAAAAAAAACUCUCCCCCCCCCCAAUUUCAAAGUUGAGGAGUAGCUCCUCAGAAAACCCCUCGCUGGGCACCCCUGCAAACAUACAUAAAUCUUCUAUUCGAUAAACACAUAUUUACAUCGCUCCAUGAGCCCUGAUUGAACCACUAAACGAUGUUUCGGCUAUGUACUAGUUCCCAUAGCCUAGAACUGAGGGGCUUGGAGGAAAAGGUGCAUAAGUGCAGUUUUUGCUAUUUCGAGAAAUACGUGUUUGAAGUUUCGAAAUUACCGACAUGGAUCCUUAUGGCUGAAAGAGAGUUCAAACUAUGACUUUUUGAUGCUUAAUAAUUGUAAUUUUUGAGCGAAUUUUUUACAGAAUUAAUUAUGCGCAUUAAGAUUAUAGUUUUACUUGAAAUCAUGAAUAUAUCUCAAUUGUUUAAAAACUGCACUUUGCGCCUGUCACUUCUUUGCGUUCUUAGGGUCCGUGAGUGUUCCAAAAUAUAAGCUCGACUUUUGCGGUGACACCACUAUCCGACCAUGUGGAAGCCAAUGUUGCCUAAACUGAAAAUGUAAGGCGAACUAACAUGGCUUCAAAGUCUCUCCCCGCUCGGUAUAAAAAGCUAAUUUUGACUAUGUUCGGAGUGAGCGUGCCACUUUACCAUGGUGCCACUAGUCAACCACGUGGGAGCUCGUGAUUGCCAACACCGAAAAUUGUAAGUGAUCUGCCAAUGCUUUGAAUUCAUCUCUCCACAUUUAUUGGUAAAAGGAUAUUUUUUGUAUGCUCUGAAUAGCGUGAUGGGUAUUUACGAUAAUACCACAAUUCGACCACGUGGGAGCUCAUGUUGCCUAUAUUGAAAGUUGAAGGCAAAAAACUGGCAUGUCGUUUAAGUCAUUUUUUUUCCGUCCGGUCACUAUUUUUUUUGUUCAUUUGCGCGUGAGAAUUCCGUGUGAGCAUCCCAUUUCACGAUACCACCCUUCGACCAACCGUUUCCGCGACUUCUCUUACGCUUUGUUAGGGAAAUAUCGCAUCAGUAGGUCGAUCGUCCCGUAUCGACUUUAAAUCAUUUUUAUAGAAAACCGGAAGAUCUAUCCUUUUACAGGGUUUUUUUCUCUUGGAGAAAAAUUGGAAAAACGACGUAGCGAGAUAAUCGAAAGUCGAUGCACCACCUCCUCAUGCCCAGCCAGUGGUGUAUUUACGGGAGGGGGGGGGGGCGGACUCCUGAGCCCCAGAACAACAGAGAAAAAAUAAGAGAAAUCAAGGGAAAGGAAGCAAAAUCGGGUGGAGGAUACAAAGUCGGACGAAAGGGCGUCGAGCGUCGCCUCCAACAACGUCAGAUUUUUUCCAACCCAUACUUAAAACAAAACAUUCCAUUUGGUCUUAUAUGAGCGGUUUUCCAUUUUUUUAAGGUCUUUUUGGGGGAAAAUUGUUGAGAGCUUCAUAUCAUUUUACAUGACUGAAAUUGUUAAAAAGUGGAAUUUUACGGGGUUAAAACCCUGAACAUUUUCCGGGGGGGAGGGCGUAUUCCUCGCUGCAACUAGGGGGUAUUUCAUUGCCCCCCCCCCCCCCCCCCCCAGAACCUUAUCCUGCAUACGCCACUGUACCCAGCUUUAAAAUGAGACAAAAUGCGGGAAAAUCCGACCAGCCUGCAGAUUAUAGAGAAUGUCGACAUGACAAGAAUCGAAAAUCGAUAUUUUACACGGCGCCGGUUGCGAAAACCUACACGGAAACCGCAGUGGACAGACAACCGCUGCGGGCUGCGGGUUUUAUACACGUGGAUUACCAUCACUUAUUGUCCUACAGGAACAGGCUACAAGUAUUCAUUUUUCCACGUAUAUUUUCCAAAAUAAUUCUUUCAGCUCUCGUUGCCUUAAAAACACACUCAUAUUCCGUAAUAAUUUUUUAUUUCUGUUAUUUCAUGGCUUUGUGGCAUUUCCGUAAUAAUUUAGUGUUCCAAAUUAUUCUUUCAAUCGUACUCGAAUCUUUUUGGCCUUGCCAGACAGGAGGGGGGAAGGGAGUCGUCGGGCGUCUGAUUGGCUAAAAAAAGCGCGGGAAGAACAGAUUGCAUUGCUCAGACCAAUCACAGACAUGAUAUCUACGACAUAACCUACACGCCUACACCGAACCGUGAACAUAAACAAAACAGCGUGUCGAGCAUGAAGCUAUGUGACUAAAAAUGUUUGUUAAAAUCUCUCAAUUCCAUUUUUAUCAGGAGUUUAGUUCAUAAAUCCUCAACAAAAAUUUGAUUUGAUAAUGUAAUAUGCAAGUUCUCUAAUUCCUAGUUUCUGUGUUUGAGGUAUGAGCACGCAAAGGUAUGAUUAUCCUGAGACUCCAGUCCUCUCCUUCUAACAAGCCACUGAAUUCCAUGAUUACUCAUCCUAGCAACGGCUAAACAUGCGGAAGGCCCGUAAGGAAAAUCAUCGCACGGUUUGAGAACUGUACAUAUUGGUUACAAAAUAAUACUUCUAACUUCAAUCACUAUGGGUGGCUUUUAUGUAAUCAACUAUAACAAAGCGUCUGUCGGUGCUUAAUUCUCGGUGUAGUGUGUACUUAACUAGAAAAUUAAACAAAGUAUGCGCUUUAAAUCAGCCGCUUGCAUCACAUAAUGGCAAGUACUUCAGUGGAACGAAAGAGGACAUCGAAUUCACUCACAAAUUGUGAGAGAAAGGAAGAAGAUGCACCCAAAGAGGAGAAUCUCCAUGAUGAACUAUUUCAGUCAGAUCCAUUACCUCCUCUUUUCGUAGAUAAAGCCUGGACAAAAUCUAUUCCUUUCAAGGCAUGUAUUGCUUCACGAAUCAACUUACUUCCUCAGUGCACUUAAGUUUGAACAUUUCAUGCUCAGUGUUAUUGGACUCCUCUCGUUACCCAUUCCAAGUUACUUUUGUCCUCUGCUGCCCUGCUGAGGAAGAGCAUCAAUCUCGAUGAUGAAUAAUGAAUAGCCCCUACUUAUAAUUAAUUUAAACUGAUUACAUAGAGUCCCAUUGAUUGGCCCUUUGUUUAUCCUCCCUUUUCUCAAGUUUAUUAUUCAGUUUUUCAUAACUGUGACAUGAUAUUGUUUCUCUGUCGGUAAAAGUCUAUUAUUCCCCUUCAUACUUACUGCGCUCUUCCUUGACAGGGCAGUACUGAAAACUGAUACUGUAACGUGAGAUUUUUUAUCACCACCCAAGGUCUUGUCCCUGUGGGAUGCUCUCCUGAGAUUUGUUGCUCGGAAGAGCUACACUUAUGAAGUCGAAGUGGUGAAAAAUAUCAACCGAAUGAAUAUCAAUUCUCGUUUCAAGAGCAAUUCCCAACUUAUGAUCCGACUGUCUUGUUGGAUCAUGGAGCAACUGAGAGAAGAAGAAGCAAAAGCGAAUACGUAGUGUGUCAAUUUGUUGUUCCCUUGCAUGUUUGUUUUAAUCUGCAUUCGGUGGGCUUCACUAAUCAUUUAAUUUUGCUCAGUCUUCUACCGACAUAAAUAUGGGAUUUCCUAUAUGGAAUAUGUGAAUAGGGAUUUCCUCUCUGAUUUUCCUUUAUAUUUUCAUCCUGGUUUAAGCUUAGUAAUAGGUCAUUUGCACACCUUGAAAUAACUUGUUCAAUUAUUGUAAAUCGUGUUCUGUCGCAAGGAUGCAAGAAGAAUGUUCCAUGGAGACGGUAACAGUGACAAGUCCCUGUUGAUUCCUUCAGGCAAUUCAGUGCUCAGACCAAUCUCUUGAUAAUUGCCUGUGGAAGCAAAGCCUCUUAGAUCAUGGUCUCUUUCUCCCUCCCCCCCCCCCAAAUUUUGUUUCUCCUUUUUUUUCUUCACGUACCUAUGCUCCUUAAUUAAUUACAUUGUAUCUUU
rnacentral:lncRNA from 1 species